rnacentral:rRNA from 1 species
UGGGGAAUAUUGCACAAUGGGCGAAAGCCUGAUGCAGCGACGCCGCGUGAGGGAUGAAUGCCUUCGGGUUGUAAACCUCUUUCAGUAGGGACGAAGCGAAAGUGACGGUACCUGCAGAAGAAGCGCCGGCCAACUACGUGCCAGCAGCCGCGGUAACACGUAGGGCGCAAGCGUUGUCCGGAAUUAGUGGGCGUAAAGAGUUCGUAGGCGGUUUGUCACGUCGGCUGUGAAAUCCCGAGGCUUAACCUCGGGCCUGCAGUCGAUACGGGCAGACUAGAGUGAAGUAGGGGAGACUGGAAUUCCUGGUGUAGCGGUGAAAUGCGCAGAUAUCAGGAAGAACACCGAUGGCGAAGGCAGGUCUCUGGGCUUUAACUGACGCUGAGGAACGAAAGCGUGGGUAGCGAACA